rnacentral:lncRNA from 1 species
CUGAGGUGGUUUCAUGAAAGAGGAAGCAGCAAGGCUGGGCCUUGAAGAACGUGAAGGAGUCACCCAGCUAGAGAGGGCAGGAGGGUGUUCCACGAAGUACAAACAUCAUGAACAGAAAGUCAAAGAGUGAAAGUGAAGGGAGGAUUGGGGAGCAGUGAACAGACAAUGUGAGAGAGCUGCGGCACCAUGGAGAAGAGUAAUGAGAGGGACAUCCUGAAGGAAAGACAAUAUGAAGGACUGUCGAUGCCAAAGAAAGGACUUUCAGCCAUAUGCACGCAAUGGGGAGCAAUGCAAGAUUGUCAACCAAGAGACUGAGGUGACCAGAUCUGCUUCACAGCAGCAGCAGCAGCAGUGUACAUGGAAGAUUAGAGGACCGAGAGAGAUGCAUGUCAGGAAAAUCAGCUAACAGACUCUAAAAUAACUAAGACUUGAGAAAGAUCUGGAUCAAAGCUUUAACAGCAGCAAUAAAGAAAAAAGAAGAGACAUUUCUGUAAUCAGAUCUAGAAAAGUUGAUGACCCCCAGGAUAACAGCCAUGAAAGUGAGAAGUGCAGGACACAAUGGUUUAAGCUUGGAAUCUCAGCCACUCCGAAGUCGCUGAGGCAGGAGAAUCACUUGAGCCUAGGAAUUUCAGGCUGCAGUGCUGCUACCACAAACAUGAGGAAACUUCUGUUAGGAGUUCAACCUUCAGAGAGGACAGCUGGCAGUGCAAGAUGGUGACAGCCCUGCAAUCAGGAGAAGAAAGUCAUGAGAGUAAGGAAUGAUGGAGAGGGAUGAGAGCGUUUUCUAGGAUUUGAAGAGUUAAGAGACUCUGAAUAAUUGGCAGGGGAAGCUGGGAUGGAGAACAAAGUAGGAGAAGAAUCAUUUGCUGUGAACUCUGUAUUUGGAUUCCAUUUUUGAUGAUCUUUGAAAAUGGGAAUAAAGGAUUUGGGUUAUUUUUAAAUUCC